rfam:Citrus clementina cultivar Clemenules unplaced genomic scaffold scaffold_5, whole genome shotgun sequence.
CGCCUUCUUCACCUUUAAGGUAUAGUUUUAAGUCUUUAAAGAUUUUUAUUUUAAAUUCUUGACUCGUCAUUAAUUUCCUCAUGCAAAGAAAUAGCUUGUUUGAAUGGAAGCCCCGGUAAACGGCGGCAGUAACUCUAACUGUCCGAAGGUAGCGAAAUUCCUUGUCGCAUAAGUAGCGACCUGCACGAAUGGUG